UUUAAAAAGAAAUGGGAGCCGGGCGUAGUGGCGCACACCUUUAAUCCCAGCACUCGGGAGGCAGAGGCAGGCAGAUUUCUGAGUUCGAGGCCAGCCUGGUCUACAAAGUGAGUUCCAAGACAGCCAGGGCUACACAGAGAAACCCUGUUUCAAAAACAAAAAGAAAAAAGAAAGAAAGAAAGAAAUGGGAAUUUAGAAUUUUUAUCAUAUUUUUUACCUUUGUUUUUCCUGAGUUUGUGUUAAUUCUCUGGAGUUUAAAAGUCAUAUAAAUAAAGAAGUAAUAAGAUAACACUUAAAUAAAACUCUAUAUAACAAGGUUCCCUGAGGGUUACCAAAAGCUCCUAGGUUUAGACAUUUUAACUCCUGCUGGAGUAUCUCCUGCUAUUAUUUUUUUUUCAAACUGAAGUAAAGCUUACAUAUGAUGAGCCACAUGGAUAUUACAUGUAACAGGUAGUGGAUCUAACAAGCUUGUGUCUGUGUAAAGAAUACCCCAGUCAACAUGUAGAGUGGCUGAGUUACUCCUGGGACGUUGGUUAAGCUGUUGAAUAAGUCUCAACCUUGAAGGACAAUGCUGUUCCAAAGUUACUUUCUAGAAAAGAUGUGCAAAGCACUUGGAACACUGUUGUUCACUCGAGGUCUGAUGGCUUGUGAUUCAUUUACAUUGCUGCGUUUAUCAAUGGCACUUUUUGUUAGGGCUUUGUUUUUUGUUUGUUUGUUUUUGUUUUGUUUGGUUUGGUUUUUUGGUUUUUCGAGACAGAGUUUCUCUGUGUCGCCCUGGCUGUCCUGGAACUCACUCUGUGGACCAGGCUGGCCUCAAACUCAGAAAUCCCCCUGUCUCUGCCUCCCAAGUGCUGGGAUUAAAGGUGUGCACCACUACUGCCUGGCUAUGGCUUUGUUUUUAUGAGGCAUGAUUUAAUGUGUGGUUCUGGCUGGCCUGGAACUAAUUUUGUAGUCCAAAUUACUCUAAAAUCUGUGGCUAUCCUUCUGUCUCAGCCUCCCAGGUGCUAGGAAUUAUAAGGAUGAGCUGUUAGACUCCACCCAGUGCUCCAUUUUUUUUAUUACUUCCUUAGUAGUUAGAAUUCUGUUUGUGGAUGUAUCAUAUCAUCUACUAUCAUGCAUAGAAAUUUAGACUGUCACCAUUUCUGAGAUAUUAUGAAUAAAGCAUUUUUGGACAGU
rnacentral:lncRNA from 1 species